rnacentral:rRNA from 1 species
AAUAGAUACCCCGGUAGUCCACGCCGUAAACGAUGAGUGCUAAGUGUUGGGGGUUUCCGCCCCUCAGUGCUGCAGCUAACGCAUUAAGCACUCCGCCUGGGGAGUACGGUCGCAAGACUGAAACUCAAAGGAAUUGACGGGGGCCCGGCACAAGCGGUGGAGCAUGUGGUUUAAUUCGAAGCAACGCGAAGAACCUUACCAGGUCUUGACAUCCCGGUGACCACUAUGGAGACAUAGUUUCCCCUUCGGGGGCAACGGUGACAGGUGGUGCAUGGUUGUCGUCAGCUCGUGUCGUGAGAUGUUGGGUUAAGUCCCGCAACGAGCGCAACCCUUAUUCUUAGUUGCCAUCAUUUAGUUGGGCACUCUAAGGAGACUGCCGGUGAUAAACCGGAGGAAGGUGGGGAUGACGUCAAAUCAUCAUGCCCCUUAUGACCUGGGCUACACACGUGCUACAAUGGACGGUACAAACGGUUGCCAACCCGCGAGGGGGAGCUAACCCGAUAAAACCGUUCUCAGUUCGGAUUGUAGGCUGCAACUCGCUACAUGAAGCCGGAA